GACGAACGCUGGCGGCGUGCUUAACACAUGCAAGUCGAACGAUGAAGCCGGAGCUUGCUCCGGUGGAUUAGUGGCGAACGGGUGAGUAACACGUGGGCAAUCUGCCCUUGACUCUGGGAUAACUGCGGGAAACUGUAGCUAAUACCGGAUACGACACCUUGGGGCAUCCCAGGGUGUGGAAAGAAUUUCGGUCAAGGAUGAGCUCGCGGCCUAUCAGCUAGUUGGUUAGGUAAUGGCUCACCAAGGCGACGACGGGUAGCCGGCCUGAGAGGGUGACCGGCCACACUGGAACUGAGACACGGUCCAGACUCCUACGGGAGGCAGCAGUGGGGAAUAUUGCACAAUGGGCGAAAGCCUGAUGCAGCAACGCCGCGUGAGGGAUGAAGGCCUUCGGGUUGUAAACCUCUUUUAGCAGGGAAGAAGCGAAAGUGACGGUACCUGCAGAAAAAGCACCGGCUAACUACGUGCCAGCAGCCGCAGUAA
rnacentral:rRNA from 1 species